rnacentral:rRNA from 1 species
UGGGGAAUAUUGCACAAUGGGCGAAAGCCUGAUGCAGCAACGCCGCGUGAGUGAUGAAGGUCUUCGGAUUGUAAAGCUCUGUCUUUUGGGACGAUAAUGACGGUACCAAAGGAGGAAGCCACGGCUAACUACGUGCCAGCAGCCGCGGUAAUACGUAGGUGGCGAGCGUUGUCCGGAUUUACUGGGCGUAAAGGGUGCGUAGGCGGAUGUUUAAGUGAGAUGUGAAAUACCCGGGCUUAACUUGGGUGCUGCAUUUCAAACUGGAUAUCUAGAGUGCAGGAGAGGAGAAUGGAAUUCCUAGUGUAGCGGUGAAAUGCGUAGAGAUUAGGAAGAACACCAGUGGCGAAGGCGAUUCUCUGGACUGUAACUGACGCUGAGGCACGAAAGCGUGGGUAGCAAACAGGAUUAGAUACCCUGGUAGUCCACGCCGUAAACGAUGAGUACUAGGUGUAGGAGGUAUCGACCCCUUCUGUGCCGCAGUAAACACGUUAAGUACUCCGCCUGGGAAGUACGAUCGCAAGAUUAAAAC